UUUUUUAAUUGGAAACUUGUAUGAAAGGUUGAACGAAAUAUAAACUGUUUUAAAAAAAUAUUAGAAUUUUACUUUUUAGUUAAAAGGCUAAAAUAAAAUUAAAAGACGAGAAGACCCUAUAGAGUUUUAUAAAUUUAAUAUUUAAUUAAUAAAGAAAAAUUAUUUUUAAUUAUAAAGAUUUAUUUAGUUGGGGUGACAAUAAAAUUUAUAAAACUUUUAUUAUUAAUUACAUUAAUAAAUGAGAAAUUGAUCCAGUAUUAUUGAUUAAAAUUUAAAUUACCUUAGGGAUAACAGCGUAAUCUUUUUUUAGAGUUCUUAUCAAUAAAAAUUUUUGC
rnacentral:rRNA from 1 species